rnacentral:rRNA from 1 species
CACCGCGGUUAUACGAGUAACACAAAUUAAUACUCCCCGGCGUCAAGGGUGAUUAGAAGAAAUAUCUUACUAAAAUAAAGUUAAGACCCCAUCAGGCUGUUAUACGCUCCCAUGUCUUAAAACAUCACUCACGAAAGUAACUUUAAAUACAAAGACUUUUUGAAUUCACGACAGUUAAGGCC